GUCAGGAUGGCCGAGCAGUCCAAGGUGCUGCGUUCAGGUCACAGUCUCCCCUGGAGGCGUGGGUUCAAAUCCCACUCCUGACA